rnacentral:rRNA from 1 species
AGCCUGAUGCAGCAACGCCGCGUGAACGAUGAAGGUCUUCGGAUCGUAAAGUUCUGUUGCAGGGGAAGAUAAUGACGGUACCCUGUGAGGAAGCCCCGGCUAACUACGUGCCAGCAGCCGCGGUAAUACGUAGGGGGCUAGCGUUAUCCGGAUUUACUGGGCGUAAAGGGUGCGUAGGUGGUCCUUCAAGUCGGUGGUUAAAGGCUACGGCUCAACCGUAGUAAGCCGCCGAAACUGGAGGACUUGAGUGCAGGAGAGGAAAGUGGAAUUCCCAGUGUAGCGGUGAAAUGCGUAGAUAUUGGGAGGAACACCAGUAGCGAAGGCGGCUUUCUGGACUGCAACUGACACUGAGGCACGAAAGCGUGGGUAGCAAACAGGAUUAGAUACCCUGGUAGUCCACGCUGUAAACGAUGAGUACUAGGUGUCGGGGGUUACCCCCCUCGGUGCCGCAGCUAACGCAUUAAGUACUCCGCCUGGGGAGUACGCACGCAAGUGUGAAACUCAAAGGAAUUGACGGGGACCCGCACAAGUAGCGGAGCAUGUGGUUUAAUUCGAAGCAACGCGAAGAACCU